GAUGAACGCUGGCGGCGUGCCUUACACAUGCAAGUCGAACGGCAGCACGGGUGCUUGCACCUGGUGGCGAGUGGCGAACGGGUGAGUAAUAUAUCGGAACGUACCUUAUUGUGGGGGAUAACGCAGCGAAAGCUGUGCUAAUACCGCAUAAUCCCUAAGGGGGAAAGCGGGGGACCGUAAGGCCUCGCGCAAUUAGAGCGGCCGAUACCUGAUUAGCUAGUUGGUGAGGUAAAGGCUCACCAAGGCAACAAUCAGUAGCUGGUCUGAGAGGACGAUCAGCCACACUGGGACUGAGACACGGCCCAGACUCCUACGGGAGGCAGCAGUGGGGAAUUUUGGACAAUGGGGGCAACCCUGAUCCAGCAAUGCCGCGUGAGUGAAGAAGGCCUUCGGGUUGUAAAGCUCUUUUGUCAGGGAAGAAACAGCAGCUCUAACACAGUUUGCGAAUGACGGUACCUGAAGAAUAAGCACCGGCUAACUACGUGCCAGCAGCCGCGGUAA
rnacentral:rRNA from 1 species